AGUUGGACCACACAUGCACCAGCCCAUGCCUGUUGCCAGUAUAGAUCUCAUUCCUGUCCUCGUCAUAAAAAAGCGCUGUGACAUCUUCAAGAGCUUCUGGAAUGGUGCUCCAAAUUGAGGACCUCUCAGAGUUACCAUUCUUGCGAGGGCCAAUACGGAGGGUGGGAUCAUUAGCAGCAAUCUUGGCGAUGCAUUUGCCAGUCAUAAUGUCACUCAUGUUGAUAGACCCAAUUGGAGGUACUGCAAUUGACAUAAGAUAGAUCUUUUAAAGUAUGAGAUAAUCAGAUCCUGAUCACUGGUAAUGUAGAUAUUGUUGGUGCUACAAUCUUGAUGCCAAAGCAAAUGGUCUUCAAAUGAGGUCACGAGCUCUCCUCGAAAAUUCCAUACAGCAACCGUCCUGUUUCGGAAUGUCAAGAAGAGAUUGUUCUCGUACAGAAAAAUGAAUGCUGAUGGAGUCAUAAACUUGGUAACACUGACUUCAAUUAGCUCAGAACUCCGUACCUUCACAAUAUCUGAAGGUUCUCAUCUUCUUGCUUGACAAGGAGCUUUUCAUUGAAUUGCUCGAUAAAAUCAAUUUUCUUAUUACGGUGCAACAAAUGCGUGAAGGAUUUUAGUGGUCUUCCAUCUUCAAUUGACAAUAUCUUCAAAGGAACAUGACAUGGUGUUCUUUCAUAUAUCAAGAGCAUGAUUCCUGGACUGAUUUUUAUCUCCUGCACAUUGGUGUCAGGUAUUGAAUAUAGAAAAGAGUAAUUCUUCAAAUCGAAGACCUUAUAGAUACUGCAAAUACAAGGGUAAAAGUGAGUACUUUUCCAUUCACAUCAUCAAACUCCACAAAGCCAGGCCACUUCAGAGAUUCUGUUUCAAAAAGAGGAAACCCAGCAUCUAACUGAUUCCUCCUUAUAUAUACUCGAUUGGGGUUGUUCUGCACUUCAAUGUGCUAAAAUGGUCUGACGCAUAAACAGACACAGUAAUAAGUGAAUCAUUGUUCUUGUUGUAGAACAAGCUCCGGAUGACUUCAUCUGGGCUUAAAUUCAGGAAGGAUAUGCGCUUAUUUAAUCUCUACCUCGACUAAAAGCAGCACACAACCCAGAGUGCGCAAGAGCAAAUAUGAUAUCUUUUGCUGCAACAAUCUCAAUUAUUUUGGAUCUCUUUUUAAGAAACUGCAGCUUCACAAAUAGGUGGGCAUUGUGAUCAUACGUAUCGAACUCUUCCUGGAUCCAACAAAGAAGUAUAAUCUGCCUGCCCCCGAUCUCGCGCCGCUGCAGCUUCGCGGCCGAGUUGAAGGCCGGCGCGUCCAGCAGCCGCUUCCUGCCCCCGGCCCCGCCGCCUCCGCCCCCGCUCCCUCCGCCGUCCGCGCCGCCGUCGCCGCCCCUCCGCCGCGCCGUCACGCGGAGCCGCACCCUCAGCUGCGACCUCUUGGGCCCCUCCAUCCCGCCGCCGCCGCCGUCCACCACUGCGCCGCUCGCUCCUCCCUCGUGGCGGGGGGUGGUGAGGCUAGGGUUUCGAAGGAGGAGGAGGAGGUGGAGCUAGCUAGGGUUUGAGGGGGAAUUUGGUGGUGGGGAGUCGAGGGGGGGAAG
rnacentral:sRNA from 1 species